rnacentral:rRNA from 1 species
CCUACGGGUGGCUGCAGUGGGGAAUAUUGGACAAUGGGGGGAACCCUGAUCCAGCCAUGCCGCGUGUGUGAAGAAGGCCCUCGGGUUGUAAAGCACUUUCAGUGAGGAAGAACGCCUGGUGGUUAAUACCCAUCAGGAAAGACAUCACUCACAGAAGAAGCACCGGCUAACUCCGUGCCAGCAGCCGCGGUAAUACGGAGGGGGCGAGCGUUAAUCGGAAUUACUGGGCGUAAAGCGCGCGUAGGUGGCUUGAUAAGCCGGUUGUGAAAGCCCCGGGCUCAACCUGGGAACGGCAUCCGGAACUGUCAAGCUAGAGUGCAGGAGAGGAAGGUAGAAUUCCCGGUGUAGCGGUGAAAUGCGUAGAGAUCGGGAGGAAUACCAGUGGCGAAGGCGGCCUUCUGGACUGACACUGACACUGAGGUGCGAAAGCGUGGGUAGCAAACAGGAUUAGAUACCCUGGUAGUC